rnacentral:rRNA from 1 species
UGGGGAAUUUUGGACAAUGGGCGCAAGCCUGAUCCAGCAAUGCCGCGUGAGUGAAGAAGGCCUUCGGGUUGUAAAGCUCUUUUGUCAGGGAAGAAACGGCUUGGGCUAAUAUCCUGGGCUAAUGACGGUACCUGAAGAAUAAGCACCGGCUAACUACGUGCCAGCAGUCGCGGUAAUACGUAGGGUGCAAGCGUUAAUCGGAAUUACUGGGCGUAAAGCGUGCGCAGGCGGUUUUGUAAGUCUGACGUGAAAUCCCCGGGCUCAACCUGGGAAUUGCGUUGGAGACUGCAAGGCUGGAGUCUGGCAGAGGGGGGUUAGAAUUCCACGUGUAGCAGUGAAAUGCGUAGAGGAUGUGGAGGAACACCGAUGGCGAGGGCAGCCCCCUGGGUCAAGACUGACGCUCAUGCACGAAAGCGUGGGGAGCAAACAGGAUUAGAUACCCUGGUAGUCCACGCCCUAAACGAUGUCUACUAGUUGUCGGGUUUUAAUU